rnacentral:rRNA from 1 species
CAUGCAGUCGAGCGGAACGAAGAGGUGCUUGCCCUUUGCGUCGAGCGGCGGACGGUUGAGUAAUGCUUGGGAAUAUGCCUUAUGGUGGGGGACAACAGUUGGAAACGACUGCUAAUACCGCAUGAUGUCUACGGACCAAAGUGGGGGACCUUCGGGCCUCACGCCAUAAGAUUAGCCCAAGUGGGAUUAGCUAGUUGGUGAGGUAAUGGCUCACCAAGGCGACGAUCCCUAGCUGGUUUGAGAGGAUGAUCAGCCACACUGGGACUGAGACACGGCCCAGACUAACUACGGGAGGCAGCAGUGGGGAAUAUUGCACAAUGGGCGCAAAGCCUGAUGCAGCCAUGCCGCGUGUGUGAAGAAGGCCUUCGGGGUUGUAAAGCACUUUCAGUAAGGAGGAAAGGUUAAGUGUUAAUAGCCACUUAGGCUGUGACGUUACUUACAGAAAGAAGCACCGGCUAACUCCGUGCCAGCAGCCGCGGUAAUACGGGAGGGUGCGAGCGUUAAUCGGGAAUUACUGGGCGUAAAGCGUACGGCAGGCCGGUUUGUUAAGCGAGAUGUGAAANCCCCGGGCUCAACCUGGGAACUGCAUUUCGAACUGGCAAACUAGAGUGUGAUAGAGGGUGGUAGAAUUUCAGGGUGUAGCGGUGAAAUGCGUAGAGAUCUGAAGGAAUACCGAUGGCGAAGGCAGCCACCUGGGUCAACACUGACGCUCAUGUACGAAAGCGUGGGGGAGCAAACAGGAUUAGAUACCCUGGUAGUCCACGCCGUAAACGAUGUCUACUAGAAGCUCGGGUCUUCGGA